rnacentral:rRNA from 1 species
CGCGUAGGCGGUCUUGUCGGUCAGAUGUGAAAGCCCGGGGCUCAACCCUGGAAGUGCAUUUGAAACAGCAAGACUUGAAUACUGGAGAGGAGAGCGGAAUUCCUGGUGUAGAGGUGAAAUUCGUAGAUAUCAGGAGGAACACCGAUGGCGAAGGCAGCUCUCUGGACAGAUAUUGACGCUGAGGCGCGAAGGUGUGGGUAGCGAACAGGAUUAGAUACCCUGGUAGUC